AUAUAUAUAUAUAUAUAUAUGCAUGCAGGCAAAGCAUGAAAUGAUGAAGUAGUUGCACACUGCACUGCCAGCGGAUCCAGAAACAGAGAGUGACUUGGGCGCUGCAUAUUAGCAGACUGAAGACGACGAACAGCGAACAGCGAACGGCGAACGGCAGACGUCGGAAGUCGGACGUCGGACGUCGGACAACAGACGAGAAAUGUCCUCACAAAUUGCGACUGUAAGAGUUGAGUUUAUGAUGCAUUUAUGCGGCCCUAGAAAUGCUCUCAACUGCAAAGCAAGGCGAAUACCAGAAGCAGCGACAGAAAACAACAACAGCAGCAGUAGCAGCAGCAGUAGCAGGAGCUGGGGCAGGAGGAGCAGCAGGAGCAGAAGCAUACCGAGGCGACUGCUGAAAGUGCAACAAAAAGCGCAUAAUAGUUGCAUACUUGAUGGCGCAUUCCCCGUUACUGUUAGCCAUCUUGACAAUCCCACUGCUUGGCCUGGCCAGCUCCUGCGCUCCUGCAACAGCAUUCCUGCCAUAAAUGUCAAAUGCUUCAAGCCUCAACUCAGCUCGCCAUAGGAUUCAAUUACAUUUGACAAUAAAGCAACUUGACUACUCUCAUACAAAUUAUGUUUUCAAACUUUUCCGUCAUUCAAUAUAAUAUUAUUUUUUUUGUUUUUGUA